CAGGGCCUUAAUCUCCAGAAACCCUAGAGAGUCUCAACAUGUGGGCUGCAUCUCUCAUUGUCCUUCUGGGGAUCUGGUGCACAGGAUCCAGUUCCCAGCCUACAGUGGUUCAGGAAUCCUCCAUGUCACCUUCCCAAGGACAGACGGUCAAACUCUCUUGUUCCCUCAGCAGUGGACAAGUAACAAAUUAUUACCAAUCCUGGUAUCAACAGAAAGAAGGAGGUCCUCCCAGAUUCCUUUAUGGUUACUACAGCAGUGCAAGCUCAGGCUCUGGAGACCUGAGCCGCUUCUCUGCCUCCAAGGAAAGUAACCAAAAUAAAUGGUAUUUGACCAUCCAGAACAUCCAGGCAGAAGAUG